UCAAAGUCGUAUAUUAGUGUUGUUGCACAUUAAAGCUCGUAGUUGAAUUUCUGGACUCAUCUUUCGGUCCGAGGCCUUGUGCUUUGCGUACUGUUCUCGAUGGGUUCAUCUUAGUAGGGAACCAUUCUGGUAUUAAGUUAUUGGGGUGUGGAACUGCUUCGUUUACUGUGAAUAAAAUAGAGUGUUUAAAGCAGGCAUUACGCCUUGAAUACUUCAGCAUGGAAUAAAAUGAUAGGACCUAGGUCUAUUUUUAUUGGUUAUGUUAACUAGGUAAUGAUUAAUAGGGACAGUUGGGGGUGUUCAUAUUUGAUUGUCAGAGGUGAAAUUCUUGGAUUUAUGAAAGAUGAACUUAUGCGAAAGCAUUUACCAAGGAUGUUUUCAUUAAUCAAGAACGAAAGUUAGGGGAUCGAAGAGGAUUAGAUACCCUCGUAGUCUUAACCAUAAACUAUGCCGACUCGGGAUCAGUGGGGUUUGUUUAACGUCUCCAUUGGCACCGUAUGAGAAAUCAAAGUCUUUGGGUUCCGGGGGGAGUAUGGUCGCAAGGCUGAAACUUAAAGGAAUUGACGGAAGGGCACCACCAGGAGUGGAGCCUGCGGCUUAAUUUGACUCAACACGGGGAAACUUACCAGGUCCGGACAUAGUAAGGAUUGACAGAUUGACAGCUCUUUCUUGAUUCUAUGGGUGGUGGUGCAUGGCCGUUCU
rnacentral:rRNA from 1 species